CCUACGGGAGGCAGCAGUGAGGAAUAUUGGUCAAUGGGCGAGAGCCUGAACCAGCCAAGUCGCGUGAAGGAUGACUGAUCUAUGGUUUGUAAACUUCUUUUAUAUGGGAAUAAAGUGAGGAACGUGUUCCUUUUUGUAUGUACCAUAUGAAUAAGCCUUGGCUAACUCCGUGCCCGCAGCCGCGGUAAUACGGAGGAUGCGAGCGUUAUCCGGAUUUAUUGGGUUUAAAGGGUGCGUAGGUGGUUAAUUAAGUCAGCGGGGAAAGUGUGUGGCUCAACCAUCAAAUUGCCGUUGAUACUGGUUGACUUGAGUAUAUUUGAGGUAGGCGGAAUGCGUGGUGUAGCGGUGAAAUGCAUAGAUAUCACGCAGAACUCCGAUUGCGAAGGCAGCUUACUAAACUAUAACUGACACUGAAGCACGAAAGCGUGGGGAUCAAACAGGAUUAGAUACCCUUGUAGUC
rnacentral:rRNA from 1 species